rnacentral:lncRNA from 1 species
GGCCUUGUUUGGUACUAGUGUAUUUUAGGGAAUUUGUGGGGAUUAUCCUGGUCAAACCCCUCAAUCCCCACACAUCCCAUAACACCAUUUGGUUCUAGUGUAUUUGACAUGUUUCAUCCCCACAUUUCCCCUCAAAUCCCCAAAUUAUAAUGCAUUUUUCUCAAUACCCAAUACACUACCCCUACCUAGUGUAUUGGGGAUAAAUGGGGAUUUGGAGGGAUUGGGUAAAGGUUGGGGUUUCACCCAAUCCCUUGG